CCCCUUGAAAUAAUACAAGUCAUAGAGCUAUUUAAUUUGGAUCACACCCUUUCCCCUUCUGACUUAUGGACAAUUGUCCAACACAGGUUUCCCCCACCAUCUGAAAGUUUGCUUUACACAACGUCGCUUUUAGAAAGCCCUACAUUAGUACCUGUUUUUGCUAACGAAAAAAAUCAGAAGAGGAUUUCGCUUUCAUGGAAAAAGGUGAAAAGCAAAAAUAGUGUUCAGUGCCUGUUUUGCAGUGAGCCAUUAUAGAGGCCAAGCAGGCGAGCACACUGUUGUAUUUCAAACCUUCCACAUCAGCCACACCAACCACAUCAGCCACAGCAGAGAACAAACCCUGACCUUUGACGCUGAGGCAGGCAGACACAGAAGAAGGUGUAGAUGUUAGUGGCCUGCCUGCCCUGAUGGACUCAGAGAUGAUUAACAGAUGACUCUCUUCCUCUCCUCCACUCCGGUCUCCUGUACCUUCCACCACCACCAAGGACUCAGUCUAACACAGCAUCACCACCACCACCUCUCAGCCUUCCAGUGUGCUCGCUGUCUUCUCGAUUCUGUAAUGGAGAUGUGCCUAGGAUGAGAAUGCCCAUUUCCCAGGCUCCCUUGCAGGCUUCCACCCUCCAGAUGGCUUGAAGAGCAACAACCAAGAUGGCCUUGGAAGCCACAUGUGGAAGAGGGAGUGCUGUCAGCCUCAGUCUCUGAAUGGCUGUGUGGAACAGAGCUGUCCACCUACCCAUGACAUUUACCUGAGAGAGAAAUAAGUUUCCUUGUUUCUCGAGUCUUACUAUUGUCGAGUCUCAUUAUGGCAGCUCCUUCAGAUAUGUAAUCAGCUUUCAUUUUUUUCACUUACUCUGUCCCAAGUAUUUUUCUGAUACCUGCAUUGUUCAUGGUGUUUAUUAAAAUAAGGGAUUAGGGGUAAGUUACUCUUAAUUAGUUACUCUUUACUAA